rnacentral:tRNA from 1 species
GCUAGCGUCGCCCAAUUGGCUGGGAGGCUCAUUGUCGAUGAGAUUGAUGAGGGUUCAAGUCCCGUCGCUAGUG